UUUAAGCUUCCUACGGGAGGCUGCAGUGGGGAAUCUUAGACAAUGGGGGAAACCCUGAUCUAGCCAUGCCGCGUGAUCGAUGAAGGCCUUAGGGUUGUAAAGAUCUUUCAGGUGGGAAGAUAAUGACUGUACCACCAGAAGAAGCCCCGGCUAACUCCGUGCCAGCAGCCGCGGUAAUACGGAGGGGGCUAGCGUUGUUCGGAAUUACUGGGCGUAAAGCGCACGUAGGCGGAUCAGAAAGUCAGAGGUGAAAUCCCAGGGCUCAACCUUGGAACUGCCUUUGAAACUCCUGAUCUUGAGGUCGAGAGAGGUGAGUGGAAUUCCGAGUGUAGAGGUGAAAUUCGUAGAUAUUCGGAGGAACACCAGUGGCGAAGGCGGCUCACUGGCUCGAUACUGACGCUGAGGUGCGAAAGCGUGGGGAGCAAACAGGAUUAGAUACCCUUGUAGUCGAAUUCU
rnacentral:rRNA from 1 species